AUGACAGAAGUUUUAAUUCCUCGAAUUGAACUUUUGCUGGUUGGUGUCAUUGAGCUUUUCUCCCUCCCCAUCAAGGAAUACCUGUGGAGACAUGAGAACGUCCUGGGAUGGAGGAGGGCUGAAGCAGUCCAGACAAGGUCCCUGGUUACCACCUCUCUCAUCUCAAUAGCCUCGUGGGAAAGCAAAUUCAUAAGGGCUCUUCAAGUCACAAGCAGUGGUGUCCUGGUACAAGCUCACAAAAGCCAAUUGUUAGAUAUUCAGAGAUUUGCAAGCUGCUUGUUAAACCUUGGCAGCUUAAAAUCUGACACAAUGGGAGCAUUUACACCAUGGUAACUGGCAAACGCAAAAAAAUCAAGUCUCCUCUCUCUCUCUCUCCCCCUCUCCUUCUCCUUCUUCCUCUCUCUUUCUUUUUUCCCAGCACACCACUGGUCACAAGUGGCAGAAAGGCCACUCAAAUGACUUAAAUAAGAAGAAAUAUUUUUUUUAAAUCGGUUUGGCUGCACCAGGUCUUAGUUGUGGCAUGCAGGCUUUAGUUCCCUGACCAGGGAUUGAACUCAGGCCCCUGGCAUUGUGGGUGCAGACCGCUGGGUCACCAGGGAAGUCCGAAGGAAUAUUUAUUUGCUGUUACAACUAGAAAGUCCAAGCAUGGAACUGCUUUAGAUACAGCUGGAUCUAAAAGCUUAAAAGAUACUGCUAAAUGUUUUUGUUUCUCCCAUAUUUCAACUCUGCUUUAUUCCAUGUCACUUUUAAUCUGAAGACAGACUUUCUCUAGGUGACAAAGAAGAUGGCAACUCCCUGCCCCAUGUCCAUAUUCACUGAACUUUAAAAAAAAAAACAAAACAGAUUAAAGGAUUAUUGCCCCCCUGUUGGCUCUACAGAACAGUGGGCUCUGUGGAGGGCUCUGUAGAGGGCUCUGUAGAGGGCCCUGAUUAGCUUUGGGUCACAAGCCCACCCCUGAACCUAUCACUGAGCCAGGGAAGAAGGAGGAUUCUAAUUGGCCAGCAAGGAUUAUGCACCUUGUCCCGAGAUGGGGAUAUAGCCAUCAUGGUUGACUUUUGUUGUUAUCUAUUUAUUAAAAAAAAAAAAUUUAGAGCUUGAAGUUGAUAUUUGACCAACCUCUCUGACUUAGGUGAGACAAUGGACAGCAAGGCCUUCUGAAAUUAUAGGUUUUGCUCAGUUUAUCUUGAAAAGGGGGAAGGAUUUAGGAAGUCAGUGGAAAUCGGGCAAUGAAAGUGCAUGUAAAGGACUUAAUAAUUGUCAGAGCAAUCAGACAGGAAAAUGGUAGCAUGGGGACAUCAGAGCCAGAUAGCCCUAGGUACCAUAAGGUACUAUGCCAUGGGUUGUUUGCAAGGAUUAGGCAAGAUCUACAUGAACAGAGUGAAGCAGACACCUGGCACGUUUUGAAUGUUCAAUAAAUGGUAUACACUCCUCUUAUUAUUACUUCUAUUUUGUGGCCUCUAUUCCUCACCUAUAAAAGGAAAACGAUGAGAAUGCUCAUACAGUGAGCAUAUGAGACAUUAUAAUAGGUCUGGUCUAUUAUAGCUGCUCCAUAUAAAUUGCAACUAUCCCUUUUGGGUGGAAACAUUAUUUUUCAAGGUUCCUUUGCUCUUGCCUCAGCUCCUUCCUUGAAUCAUCAAAAUAAACACUUGACAUUUUCCUUCCUUUCCUCUGAGCACAUCAAGAAAUAGUCAAGGAAAUACGACAACCAUUUUGUCUCCAAAAAAGAACCUUCUGGAAAUGUGUUUCUCUGGCAGUUUUUCCAGAGCAAGUGGGUUUGGUUGAAGGGAAGUCAGAUGUUAGCAAAUAUUUUCUCUCAUGCUGAUUUCCUGAGAAAAUUGUACAAGAUACUGAAAGGUUAAAAAAAAAAUCCUCCAUCUUUCCAACUUCAAAAAAGACAUUGAAGGGGGGUAUCACUGAAGUACACAAGAUCUUUAGCCGAGUGGAUAAUAUCAAUGCAUGUUGCUNNNNNNNNNNNNNNNNNNNNNNNNNNNNNNNNNNNNNNNNNNNNNNNNNNNNNNNNNNNNNNNNNNNNNNNNNNNNNNNNNNNNNNNNNNNNNNNNNNNACAAGAUCUUUAGCCGAGUGGAUAAUAUCAAUGCAUGUUGCUACUUUUGAUAUUGCCUCAAUGACAAGAGUGGCGGCAGAAGGGGAAGUUCAAAAAAAACAAAUUCAGAAAAGACAGAUGGGAAGAGCUUUGUCACUCAAAGAAUAAUAAAUGUUUGCUAUGGCCUACUGGGCAAGGCUGUUGAGGUAAAGACAGUGAGUUCGUUCAAGCAGCAAUUAGAUGCUAUCCUGGGGGAAAGACCGUAUUACAAGA
rnacentral:lncRNA from 1 species